GACGAACGCUGGCGGCGUGCUUAACACAUGCAAGUCGAACGGACAGGCCCUGCUUGCAGUGUACUCGCGUGGCGAACGGGUGAGUAACACGUGGGUGAUCUGCCCUGCUCUUCGGGUUAAGCCUGUUCAACUGGGUCUAAUACCUGCUAGGUGCUAUUUUUAGUGUGAUGGUUGGAAAGUUUUUUCGGUGUUGGCUGAGCUCGCUGCCUAUCAGCUUGUUGGGUGGGUAAUGGCCUACCAAGGCGGCGACGGGUAGCCGGCCUGCGUGGGUGGACGGCCACAUUGAGACUGAGAGAAGGCACAAACAGCGACGGGAGGGAGAAGUGGGGAAGAUUGAAGAAUGGGCGCAAGGCUGAUGAAGCGACGCCGCGGGGGGGAGGACGGCCUUCGGGGUGUAAACUACUUGCGCAAGGGACGAAGCAUGUUGUGACGGUACCUAGAGAAGAAGCACCGGCUAACUACGUG
rnacentral:rRNA from 1 species